AUUGAACACUGGCGGCAGGCCUAACACAUGCAAGUCGAGCGGCAGCGGGAAAGUAGCUUGCUACUUUUGCCGGCGAGCGGCGGACGGGUGAGUAAUGCCUGGGAAAUUGCCCAGUCGAGGGGGAUAACAGUUGGAAACGACUGCUAAUACCGCAUACGCCCUACGGGGGAAAGCAGGGGACCUUCGGGCCUUGCGCGAUUGGAUAUGCCCAGGUGGGAUUAGCUAGUUGGUGAGGUAAUGGCUCACCAAGGCGACGAUCCCUAGCUGGUCUGAGAGGAUGAUCAGCCACACUGGAACUGAGACACGGUCCAGACCCCUACGGGAGGCAGCAGUGGGGAAUAUUGCACAAUGGGGGAAACCCUGAUGCAGCCAUGCCGCGUGUGUGAAGAAGGCCUUCGGGUUGUAAAGCACUUUCAGCGAGGAGGAAAAGUUGAUGCCUAAUACGUAUCAACUGUGACGUUACUCGCAGAAGAAGCACCGGCUAACUCCGUGCCAGCCGCCGCCGUAA
rnacentral:rRNA from 1 species